AAGCAUCUUCUAGACACUGCUACAAGAACAAGAAAUAUUCAUCGACCACUGACAACUUUGAGUACAAAUCAAGUUGUGAAGAAGAAACAUUAUUCAAGAUCAAAGAACAUUUCUUCCAUUUUGGGUUUUCCAUGUAGAGAAUCCUCCGCUGUUGUCUCAAACAAUACCACCACACAAUGUAGCUCAAAUCCAAUUGACGUGUCAUUGCCACUUGACUCUGCCAACAUUUCUAUUACGUCACAGCCAGAAAGCCCACAUACGAUAGAAUUAAAUGGCCAUUCAACAGAUGAUGUGCCUUUUUUUGAGUAAGUUAACCUGGCUGAGGCUUCUGUUGGAUGUAAUGAUGCAGAUUCUGCCAUAGAUGCACUUGCCUUUCAAUAUUUACAAAAGAAUGUGAAACUUCCAUCUAACUCUUGGAACUGGAAUUAUAACGGCAAAACCGCUGCCUGCAUGACAUGGUUGGAUACCAAUGAUGGAAAUGUUGUGAUAAAGACACUAAGAGUUCUAUGAACAACAAGGUUGUCCUUCCACAUUGGGGGUAAACUAAUUUCACUGCCGAAUGGCAAAUGUAGCUAUCGCGACUAUGACGAACAAAGUGGAUUUAUCAAAACCCUCGACCGCCAGAAUGUGUGCAAAGGAAUCGCGAAUUCUUUGGUAGUGAACGUUACGGGAAAAUUCGCUAUUUCAAGGGAUGGCGAUGUUUCUCGGUCGUCACGCUGUAGCUCUUUAUCAAAUGUGAACAGUGAGCUUUGCACUGCAUGUUCGAAGGCCCUGAGGUACAUCAGGAAGAGAAGCGUCAUUAACAAAAAUAGAAUGAUUUCAAAGAGGAAGCUGGCUGUGAAGAAUAAAAAAAUUAGGCGAAUGAAGUCACGAGAAGUGGUUUUUGCAUCGGAACUGAAAUUAACGCGAAACAAGUGCCGCGCGUUAACGGUGAAUUUAAGGUACAACAGUUUUGAAGCUGUAAUUAAUAA